AUGCUUUCGUCGUCCAUAAAUAUCCGGGGCCUCGCCAUUAGCCAGCUCCAAGCAAGCACUCAGAGAUACCUAUUUUCCAAGCUAGCAUUUCGUACACACAUAGGUACACAUAUUUCCAAGCUAAACGAGAGGAUGUCGUUGGUGAGGUUCUUCGACACGCUGGCCCUGGACUCGUGGAACCCCUUCGGCAGCAUCUUCUGCACCACGGCGUCCAGCGGCACCGACGCCUGGCUGGCCAGCGACACCACGGCCUUCGCCGACACCUACAUCGAAAGCCGGGAGACGGCGGAGGCCUACGUGUUCAGCGCCAGGCUCCCCGCCGGGGUCACCAAGGAGGAGGUCAAGGUGGAGGUGGAGGAGGACGGCAAGGUGCUGGUCAUCGCCGGCGAGCGGUGCCUGCGGAGGGAGGCCAAGAGCGAGAUGCGCCACCACGUCGAGCGCAGCAGCGCCACCUUCUUCGGCAGGUUCUACCUCCCCGACGACGCCGCGUUGGGCCAGGUCAGGGCCUCCAUGGACGACGGCGGUGCGCAGCUCACCGUCACCGUGCCCAGGGUCGGCGCCGCCGUCCCCGUGAGCAUGCCCGAGCCGGCAGUGGCCAUCGAGGUCGUCGAGGCCUGCCCGUGCUGA
rnacentral:rRNA from 1 species